rnacentral:rRNA from 1 species
GACAGAGGGGGCAAGCGUUGCUCGGAAUUACUGGGCGUAAAGGGCGCGUAGGCGGGAUGGCAAGUCGGUCGUGAAAUCCCUCGGCUCAACUGAGGAUCGUCGAUCGAUACUGCCGUUCUUGAGGAUUGCAGAGGAGACUGGAAUUCCCGGUGUAGCGGUGAAAUGUGUAGAGAUCGGGAGGAACACCGGUGGCGAAGGCGGGUCUCUGGGCAAUUCCUAACGCUGAGGCGCGAAAGCGUGGGGAGCAAACGGG